UUUUCCCUGGGGGGUUUUAACACCAACACUCCAGACCAAGUUAUUUUAAUGUGUCUCCUGACUGACACCCAGGCCGGAGGUCCACAUCAGAGUUGGAGGAUGAGACAGACAGGGAGCUGGAGCAGAGCACAUCAAACUCACUGAGGUUCCCUCCUUCACCUUCAGUGUGGACGGAGUCAGAGUCGGUCUGGGAGGAUCAGCUGGAGGGAAGUGUCUCCUGACUGUCACCCAGGCCGGAGGUCCAUGUCAGAGUUGGAGGAUGAGACAGACAGGGAGCUGGAGCAGAGCACAUCAAACUCACUGAGGUUCCCUCCUUCAGCUUCAGUGUGGACGGAGUCAGAGUCGGUCUGGGAGGAUCAGCUGGUGGGAAGUGUCUCCUGACUGACACCCAGGCCGGAGGUCCACAUCAGAGUUGGAGGAUGAGACAGACAGGGAGCUGGAGCAGAGCACAUCAAACUCACUGAGGUUCCCUCCUUCACCUUCAGUGUGGACGGAGUCAGAGUCGGUCUGGGAGGAUCAGCUGGAGGGAAGUGUCUCCUGACUGUCACCCAGGCCGGAGGUCCACAUCAGAGUUGGAGGAUGAGACAGACAGGGAGCUGGAGCAGAGCACGUCAAACUCACUGAGGUUCCCUCCUUCACCUUCAGUGUGGACGGAGUCAGAGUCGGUCUGGGAGGAUCAGCUGGAGGGAAGGUGCAGGCGCGGGCUUACUGACGACAUCGUCCCUGCAGUGCCUCUCCACCCAGACCUGCAGAUCUCUGCAGUAAUAAUCCUGCACCUCCUUCAGUACCAGCAGGAACUUCUGGCUGCCCUCCUCAGUGGCACACA